UACGGGGGGGGGCAAGCGUUGUUCGGAAUUACUGGGCGUAAAGGGCGCGUAGGCGGCCUUCUAAGUCGAACGUGAAAUCCCCGGGCUCAACCCGGGAACUGCGUCCGAGACUGGAAGGCUUGAAUCCGGGAGAGGGAUGUGGAAUUCCAGGUGUAGCGGUGAAAUGCGUAGAUAUCUGGAGGAAUACCGGUGGCGAAGGCGGCAUCCUGGACCGGCAUUGACGCUGAGGAGCGAAAGCUAGGGGAGCAAACGGG
rnacentral:rRNA from 1 species